AUCCAGCUGACGGGUCCCAAAUAGGACGAAAUGGACGUUAUCCUGAACUGGAU
rnacentral:hammerhead_ribozyme from 1 species